GACGAACGCUGGCGGCGUGCUUAACACAUGCAAGUCGAACGGAAAGGCCUCUUUCGGGGGGUACUCGAGUGGCGAACGGGUGAGUAACACGUGAGUAACCUGCCCUUGACUUUGGGAUAACUUCAGGAAACUGGGGCUAAUACCGGAUAGGAGCUCCUGCUGCAUGGUGGGGGUUGGAAAGUUUCGGCGGUUGGGGAUGGACUCGCGGCUUAUCCGCUUGUUGGUGGGGUAGUGGCUUACCAAGGCUUUGACGGGUAGCCGGCCUGAGAGGGUGACCGGCCACAUUGGGACUGAGAUACGGCCCAGACUCGUACGGGAGGCAGCAGUGGGGAAUAUUGCACAAGGGGUGGAAGCCGGAUGCAGCAACGCCGUGGGCGGGAUGACGGCCUUCGGGUUGUAAACCGCUUUCGCUCAUGACGAAGCUUUGUGUGACGGUAGUGGGUAAAGAAGCACCGGCUAACUACGUG
rnacentral:rRNA from 1 species